rnacentral:rRNA from 1 species
CCUANGUGUGGCAGCAGUGAGGAAUAUUGCGCAAUGGGGGAAACCCUGACGCAGCGAUGCCGCGUGGGUGAAGAAGGCCUUCGGGUCGUAAAGCCCUGUCGGGUGGGAAGAACAGUCUGGGAGUUAACACCUCUCAGGUUUGACGGUACCACUAAAGGAAGCACCGGCUAACUCCGUGCCAGCAGCCGCGGUAAGACGGAGGGUGCGAGCGUUAUUCGGAAUCAUUGGGCGUAAAGGGUGUGCAGGCGGCUGGUCAAGUCAGAUGUGAAAGCCCAGGGCUUAACCCUGGAAGUGCAUUUGAAACUGGUCGGCUUGAGUUCGGGAGAGGGAAGCGGAAUUCCGGGUGUAGAGGUGAAAUUCGUAGAUAUCCGGAGGAACACCGGUGGCGAAGGCGGCUUCCUGGACCGAAACUGACGCUGAGACACGAAAGCGUGGGGAGCAAACAGGAUUAGAUACCCCUNUANUC